AUUGAACGCUGGCGGCAUGCCUUACACAUGCAAGUCGAACGGUAACGGGCCUUCGGGUGCCGACGAGUGGCGAACGGGUGAGUAAUACAUCGGAACGUGCCCGAUCGUGGGGGAUAACGAGGCGAAAGCUUUGCUAAUACCGCAUACGAUCUACGGAUGAAAGCAGGGGACCGCAAGGCCUUGCGCGGACGGAGCGGCCGAUGGCAGAUUAGGUAGUUGGUGGGAUAAAAGCUUACCAAGCCGACGAUCUGUAGCUGGUCUGAGAGGAUGAUCAGCCACACUGGGACUGAGACACGGCCCAGACUCCUACGGGAGGCAGCAGUGGGGAAUGUUGGACAAUGGGCGCAAGCCUGAUCCAGCCAUGCCGCGUGCAGGAUGAAGGCCUUCGGGUUGUAAACUGCUUUUGUACGGAACGAAAAGCCUUCUUUUAAUACAGGAGGGUCAUGACGGUACCGUAAGAAUAAGCACCGGCUAACUACGUG
rnacentral:rRNA from 1 species